CGUCUUUGUGGAUCGGGCGGCCAAAAUUAAUUAUUUCAACGUCUCGAUUCAAAGCGAUGGUCCAACAUUGAAGGCGCGAUCUCACUCUUUUCAUCAAUGGAACAUCCGUGGUCGUUCACGAUCAUCAAUAGCGCGGCCACAACUCGUUUUUCGGUUUGUUGCUCGUCGUCUUUUCUGUACACCUGUAUUUUUCUUUCGGGCAUAGCAUAUGCAUAUGGGCUUAGUAACGCUGAUCAUAUGCGCAAAUAUAUGCGUGUUCUCGCAAUGUUCUCAAAUUAAGCGCUUUGUAGUUAAUAACGCAGCAUAUAUGUUUAAGUGAAUGAAGAGCCGGGGACAUACGUGCAUACGUAAACAAGCUUGCGGCACUCAGGUGCUGGUACACUGGGAAUGACAUUGGUGCUCUAUACGCCAAAAAUUGUGCGCACUCUAAAUCAGUACCGAAACGCAGGGAGUGGUAUAAUGACCGUAACUGCGUUUACAUUUGGCAAUAAAUGGUCUCGAAGGGGACUGGCGGCCUAUAGAUCCAAGUACAACGGUCGGAGGAAAUUUUCGAAUGCGGCAAGCAAUUAACCCAAGUGUCAAAGAGCACUGCUGAACUGCAAUGUAGUUGGUUGAACUCAUUCCCAUGAUAUUUACAAAAUAUCUCGUCUCUGACAAUAACUGCCCAUUCAUUGAGACAAAUCGAUUACGCAUAAUCUUCACUGUUCAUGUGUUAAUUCUUGCGGUAAGAUGUAAUCGCAAACAUUUGGUGCUUCAUCUUGAAACAAGACCGGUAAGCGCGCUCGUUCUUGUACGGUAGAAUCAAGAACGCGAACAUGCACCGACAUGUAUGUAAACUACUGGAAGGUGACUGAAGAUGAAGGACCUAUUACCGUGCUAGUACUGUGUAUACUGUCAAAAAGAAGAAAAAAAUAUUUCGGAAAGAAAGAAUGCCCAGUGUCGAGAUGUAACGAUUCAAGCUUUAUUUCUUUUUGACCUAUAGAAUGCAACACCACUAGUUCCACGUGCUUUAUGCAUGGGUAAUGUUAUGACACAACUCAUUAUUUAACCGUUCAUUACAUGCACCAACCCGCCCAAAUUAUCACUGUACUCGAGCUUAUGGACGCAUCGCAGUGCACUGCUUUGCACUUCAUUGUAGCACAGGGGUUUGCUAUCGCCAGUAGCGAAUGCUUUGGUUGACCUCCCUGCCUUUCUUCCUUUUGAAUUCUCUCUCCCUUUGUAUAAAACGCACUAACUUGUGGGAGAGAAAGCAUUCUCCUCUUUUAGAAUUCAAUUAAUUGUCAAGCAAUUAUAUUGCAGUUCCAGUAACUAGAGCACAAAUGCGAAAACGAAACCGAUUCUCUUCGGUUCUCCGCGCUCAGAGUGCGGCACCAGGGGGCAGGGCGCGCUGCGCGUCCGUUGGAGUGGCAGACGGAGAUGCACAUGUCUAGUCAGCCGGCAUUUUUCGAGUCGUGUUGUAAAUGUUGUUAAUUCGCCGUAAAUAUCUCUUGAUUUGUACUCAAGGGUGGAGCAAGACCCCAAGGAAGAGAGAUUGACUCAUCGGGAGCGAAGAACAGAAACGAUGGAUGGUUACGCUGCUUGGGUCUCGGCACGUUCAAAUUGGCAAAGUUCCGAAUUUGUUGCUGUGUUGUGUCCGCUUGUGCGCUCGUUAUUUGCCGUCAUCGCUCGGAGAUAUUUGCGCUGGAUGUCUUUCACUUCGUGUACAAAACUCUGCUCGCUGCGGCAUCGAAGAAGUUGUCCUGUGUUUGGGUGCACGUAUGCGCUUGGACACGGAUAGCCUGCUUGCUCUCAACGGGUGUUCAACAGUCUACGCGCGCUGGUAACUUGCUCAUGAGGCAAGUUGCUGUUGUGCUGGAGCUGAGAAGAGGUCUGCUGCCUGCAAUGGGUCCAUCUCUCUCAAGUUAUUGCAGUAUUAUAGCUCUCAAGGUUCAAAAAAAGUAUGGUGGAAGCUGUUGCCAAGGUUCCGACCAGAAAAGACAGCCAGUAUAAAAGGGUCCACGCCACUGAUCUCUACUACAGGGGAUGAACAGCACAUCGAGCGCCCUCGACUGAAGCCGGCCUUGUCCCGGAAGUUGGUGCUUGACAACUUUGCGGCAGCACUUUGUUGCACGGCCUGUGGAGACAAGGUUUCUUAGACAUGGCCGUGGCCCUCAAGGAAGAUGCCGAGGCCACAGGCAGUUCCUCCAGUGACCGUGAAAAGGUCCCCUGGGGCACAAGUCUGGUUUGGCACCCCCACCUUUCUCCUGCAGCUUUUCUGUCUACUUAGCUAACCAGCAAGUUUAUCCUUGCAAGUGUUUGGAGUCAAGAACAACUUUCACCAGGAAGAAGUGCAAGACGAGUGAUUGAAGAAAAUAAAGUUGCUUCUGUGAUCUAAGAACUUGAGGACUGAAAUGUUGCACCUUUUUGUAUAUAUGCUAUGCAGUGCAUUCAUAUCACAAAGUGCAAAGUGUUUUAUCUCUGCAGCCAUGUCAGUGUGUUGGCAAGACAAUUUUCUCAAUGGUGACCUGCUGCUUUGACUAUGAGCUGCCUUCAUGACAUUUGCAUUAAAGGAGAUGUACUAUCGUGGACAAAAGUACCCUGGAAGUGCGAGCGUUGACCAAAUUGCAUUUCUGCUCAAGACCGCUGAAAACAGUGGGUCACGUAUGCACAUGCUGAACGCAGAUGGUGGCACGGCUGAUCCCAGCAAAUAGCACACCAAUGAAAUUCGGUCGACUCUCGCACGUCC